AUUGAACGCUGGCGGCAGGCCUAACACAUGCAAGUCGAGCGGAUGAAGGGGGCUUGCUCCUGGAUUCAGCGGCGGACGGGUGAGUAAUGCCUAGGAAUCUGCCCGGCAGUGGGGGAUAACGUCCGGAAACGGGCGCUAAUCUCGCAUACGUUAAGAGGGAGAAAGUGGGGGAUCUUCGGAGCUCAAGCUAUCUGCUGAGCCUAGGUCGGAUUAGCUAGUUGGUGGGGUAAAGGCCUACCAAGGCGACGAUCCGUAACUGGUCUGAGAGGAUGAUCAGUCACACUGGAACUGAGACACGGUCCAGACUCCUACGGGAGGCAGCAGUGGGGAAUAUUGGACAAUGGGCGAAAGCCUGAUCCAGCCAUGCCGCGUGUGUGAAGAAGGUCUUCGGAUUGUAAAGCACUUUAAGUUGGGAGGAAGGGCAGUAAGUUAAUACCUUGCUGUUUUGACGUUACCAACAGAAUAAGCACCGGCUAACUUCGUG
rnacentral:rRNA from 1 species